UACGUAGGCCGAGCGUUGUUCGGAAUUACUGGUCGUAAAGAGUGUGUAGGCGGUGCUCUAAGUUCGGUGUGAAAUCUCCUGGCUCAACUGGGAGGGUGCGCCGGAAACUGGAGUGCUUGAGCGUGGGAGAGGAAAGCGGAAUUCCUGGUGUAGCGGUGAAAUGCGUAGAUAUCAGGAGGAACACCUGUGGUGUAGACGGCUUUCUGGACCAUAGCUGACGCUGAGACACGAAAGCGUGGGUAGCAAACAGG
rnacentral:rRNA from 1 species